rnacentral:lncRNA from 1 species
CAACCAAUAAGACAAACAUAUACACAAAAGGACCUCCCCCAUCACAGGAUAGUCAUGAACUCACAGAGAUUCACCUGCCUCUACCUCCCCAAGAACUGGGAUCAAAGGAGUGGGCCACAAUACCAACAGGGUUUCUCUGUGACUUUGGAGGCUGUCCUGGAACUAGCUCUUGUAGACAUCUGGAGGGAGAUUCUGGAGUUCUGGAGAGAGUGAUGCCAUGACACAUGUAAAGGCUCAAGGCUCAUCACAGAAGAGGAAGCAGAAAGAUGAUGCUGAACGGAGGUGGCCUCGAGUUCUGUGUUCAUUUCAGCCGGUGUGUGAACAUUUGAACCUGGACACAGGUGCCUGCAUAGUACUGCGGUGACCCCACAGGGGUUCUGUGACAAUUGUCUUCCAAAGAAGCUGAGCUUGAGUCUUGCGCCUUAGUCCACUCAGCCAGUCUGACUACUAUUGUCUUCCUGGAACUCACAGUCCUGGGAUCUGAAACACAGUUGCUCCUUGAGGUCUGUGGACAGGGAACAACUGAUAAGGAAUGCUGGGGCAGGCUGCAGGGUGAAUGAUUAACAUGGAUGGUUAGGUGCUACAGUGGGAAAGGCUGCCAUUCCUCAGAGCCCACUUCAUCAGAAAAACCACCUUGCACAUGAGCAAUUGACUCCAUCUCAACUAGGAUAUGAAAUUAGCAAAGAAGAAAAGCCCUUAGGACAGCCACUCUCACAGAUAGAAUGAACCACCAUUCGCUUUGAGGCUGUGCUAAUAGUGAAAAUGGUUGCAGUUUGCUUGUUUAUUUUGUUUAGAAACAGGGUCUGUCUGGCUUUUUAACCCUGGCCCACUUGCCCUUGAACUUGGAGUGAUCCCUUCUGCCUCUGCCUCCAGAGAGGUGCCCCAGGAAACCAACACUGCUCCUCCCAUGCUUCCUGGGGGUUGAAGUCAGAGCUUUCCAGGCACUUGGUGAGCAAGCACUCCACCAACUGAGCUAUAUCCUCAGCCCUCAAUAAAACAUUUCUAAAUGACAUAUUUGGGAAACAUAUUGUUCAAUUAAGCACAAUCUCAAGGUUUUCUCUCCUUUUGUUCUGGAAGUCUGGAGGGUGAUUUGCUGUCCCUGGAUGCUGGUUCUCUCCUUCAGGAGGGUCUGGUCCUGCAGUCCUGCAGGAUAGUUCUCUGGGGCAGGUUGAGGUAGGAGGGAGCCUAGAGGCAAACCAUAGUCUGUUUUCCCGCCUUCCCAUUCUGUCCCUGACUCACUGAAUUUCACAUGCAGAAGUGCAGCCAGGCUCAUGGGAGUGCCAGAGUCACCAAGAGACUUCCACAGGUCCGGGGGAUCAAACUCAGGUCAUCGGACUUGGCAACAGCAUCUUUACCUGCUGAGAUAUCUCGCUGAUGUGUCUUUUCCCCCUUUAAUCCAAUUAAAAGAAAAACCAAAACUAAACCAGACCAACAAAGCAAAAGGAGGAAGAGAAGGAGGAGGAGGAGGAAGAAGGAAG